rnacentral:rRNA from 1 species
GACGAACGCUGGCGGCGUGCUUAACACAUGCAAGUCGAGCGGAAAGGCCCUUUCGGGGGUACUCGAGCGGCGAACGGGUGAGUAACACGUGAGUAAUCUGCCUCUGGCUUCGGGAUAGCCACCGGAAACGGUGAUUAAUACCGGAUAUGACGCAUCACUGCAUGGUGUGUGCGUGGAAAGUUUUUUCGGCCAGGGAUGUGCUCGCGGCCUAUCAGCUUGUUGGUGGGGUAAUGGCCUACCAAGGCUUCGACGGGUAGCCGGCCUGAGAGGGUGACCGGCCACACUGGGACUGAGACACGGCCCAGACUCCUACGGGAGGCAGCAGUGGGGAAUAUUGGACAAUGGGCGGAAGCCUGAUCCAGCAACGCCGCGUGAGGGAUGACGGCCUUCGGGUUGUAAACCUCUUUCAGCACAGACGAAGCGCAAGUGACGGUAUGUGCAGAAGAAGGACCGGCCAACUACGUGCCAGCCGCCGCUGUAAUAC